UUGACCUCGGAUCAGGUAGGGAUACCCGCUGAACUUAAGCAUAUCAAUAAGCGGAGGAAAAGAAACCAACAGGGAUUGCCUCAGUAACGGCGAGUGAAGCGGCAACAGCUCAAAUUUGAAAUCUGGUCCUUCCAGGGCCCGAGUUGUAAUUUGUAGAGGGUGUUUCGGGCGAGGUGCCGGUUCAAGUCCUCUGGAACGGGGCGUCAUAGAGGGUGAGAAUCCCGUAUGCGACCGGAAGCCGAGCCUGGGUGUAACCCCUUCGACGAGUCGAGUUGUUUGGGAAUGCAGCUCUAAAUGGGUGGUAAAUUCCAUCUAAAGCUAAAUACCGGCCAGAGACCGAUAGCGCACAAGUAGCGUGAGCGAAAGAUGAAAAGCACUUUGGAAAGAGAGUUAAAAAGUACGUGAAAUUGUUGAAAGGGAAGCGCUUGCGACCAGACCUGCGCGGGGGCGAUCAACUGCCGUUCUCGGCUGUGCACUCGUCCCCGAUCAGGCCAGCAUCGGUUCGGGCGGUCGGACAAAGGCCGCGGGAACGUAGCUCCCCCCGGGGAGUGUUAUAGCCCGUGGUGCAAUGCGGCCAGCCCGGACCGAGGACCGCGCUUCGGCAAGGAUGCUGGCGUAAUGGUCGUCAGCGACCCGUCUUGAAACAC
rnacentral:rRNA from 1 species